UCCAUUUCGUCCUUUAAAAUUGUGAAUAUAAUAUACCGUCUCCAUCUUAGGAAAAAGAGUCUUGGAAAGUGCAGCCAGCUUCGGAUAGAAGAAUGGCGGAUAAUCUAAUUUUUGUCAAAGAUAGCAUGGAAUAAUUGUUAAGAAGAUCUCUUUUCUUCACUGUAAUUCAUAAAAGGCAGCAAAAUAUGUACUAUGAUGUCCAUCCUAUUUACAGUGCAACAAGUUACACAUUACCACGAUAUGCAGAUAAUCAUGCCGAGCAAUAAGAAACUUUUAUUCUUUAAUUGGACUAAAGAAAAAUAAAUUUAGACUCAAGAGUAAAAGUCUGAGUGAGCUUUCAAUAAUAGUUGUUAGUGAAAUAAGAGAUCAUAAUCACAAUAAGUACUAGGACAAAUAUAUAGAACUAUCAAAAUUGGUGGUAAGAAAGGAUACAACCCGAUCUUAUUCUAUCAAGCUCUCCGUUGAAUAUAAUCAAUUUCCUGGAAGUGUUUGACACUGCUGUUUUGUAUAGCUCUUCCACGACAAGCAUCUC
rnacentral:lncRNA from 1 species